UUCACUAGUGAUUAGAGUUUGAUCCUGGCUCAGGACGAACGCUGGCGGCGUGCUUAACACAUGCAAGUCGACCGGUAAGCGCCCUUCGGGGUACACGAGCGGCGAACGGGUGAGUAACACGUGGGUGAUCUSCCYCGUACUUCGGGAUAAGCCUGGGAAACUGGGUCUAAUACCGGAUAUGACCACAUGCUGCAUGGUGUGUGGUGGAAAGAUUUAUCGGUGCGAGAUGGGCCCGCGGCCUAUCAGCUUGUUGGUGGGGUAAUGGCCUACCAAGGCGACGACGGGUAGCCGACCUGAGAGGGUGACCGGCCACACUGGGACUGAGACACGGCCCAAACUCCUACGGGAGGCAGCAGUGGGGAAUAUUGGACAAUGGGCGCAAGCCUGAUCCAGCCAUGCCGCGUGAGUGAUGAAGGCCCUAGGGUUGUAAAGCUCUUUUGUGUGGGAAGAUAAUGACGGUACCGCAAGAAUAAGCCCCGGCUAACUUCGUGCCAGCAGCCGCGGUAAUACGAAGGGGGCUAGCGUYGCUCGGAAYCACUGGGCGUAAAGGGUGCGUAGGCGGGUCUUUAAGUCAGGGRUGAAAYCCUGGAGCUCAACYCCAGAACUSCCYYYGAYACYGAAGAYCUUGAGUYCGGGGGGGGUGAGUGGAACUGCGAGUGUAGAGGUGAAAUUCGUAGAUAUUCGCAAGAACACCAGUGGCGAAGGCGGCGUCACUGGCCCGAUACUGACGCUGAGGCACGAAAGCGUGGGGAGCAAACAGGAUUAGAUACCCUGGUAGUCAAUCG
rnacentral:rRNA from 1 species